CACUUCUCCAACAAGGGCAAAACUUAAAAAAAUUCGACCAUAUUUUUCGCCUAGAUCUCAUAAAGAUCUGAAUAUUAUACAAGAUUUAAGCUUAUCCAACAAACACCUGGCACAAUUUCUUGCAAACUUCAAUAAGUUUAGUUCGUUCGUGCAAAUUAAAAUUUCCCUCUACUAUAGAAUAAAGAACUACUCUCGCAUCUGUCAUGCGUUUCACGUUGUCUGCUACUGCUGAUAUUUACACACACAUUUCACAGUACAAGUACAACAAACUAUAUGUCGAAUUUUCUUCUCUUUUCAAUCCAAUGCAUACUAAUUAAUUAGUCUUUGAUAAUUUGACAUUUGUUGUUACUCCCAAAUCUCAACCUCCCAAAAUAGAACAAAAAAAGAAACAAAGCAAAAAAAAUGGCAUCAUCAAUUACCAGUUCUUGGGUAAUUUAUCAUCCAUCAAUAUCAUCACACCUCAAAAAUCAUCAAAUUAAGAGAUCAUUUUCUCUCUCCUCUUGGUCCCACAUUAAGCCUAAUAUUUUUGCAUCAUCCUCAACAAAUAAUAUGUUUCCCAGAAAGAAUUUGAGUGGAAAAAGAAGAAAUAUUAUGAUGGGAAAUUCUUCAAUUUAUAGUCUUGAAACUUCUUUAUUGCAUCAUAAAGUUAAUGCCCAGAAAGAGGAUUACCCAGUUGACCAAACUACUGUUGAAGAAGAGGUCUUUGCUUGGUCUUCUGUAAUUUUGCCGUUUUUAUUCCCUGCACUAGGCGGUUUGCUGUUUGGGUAUGAUAUUGGUGCUACUUCUGGAGCUACGAUAUCACUACAGUCUCCUGAGCUUAGUGGUACAACAUGGUUCAAUCUUUCGGCAGUUCAACAGGGUUUAGUGGUGAGCGGCUCACUUUAUGGAGCUCUUUUUGGUUCUAUCAUGGUCUUUCCGAUAGCUGACUUCCUUGGAAGGAGGCGAGAACUUCUAAUUGCUGCAACUCUUUAUGCGAUUGGCGGCCUCACUACUGCAUUUGCUCCUGGCCUUGAAGUUCUUUUGAUUGGGAGGCUUAUUUAUGGCCUUGGUAUUGGCUGGGCCAUGCAUGCAGCCCCUCUUUACAUUGCAGAAACUUGCCCUUCUCAGAUUCGUGGGACUUUAAUUUCGUUGAAAGAACUCUUCAUAGUUCUUGGCAUUUUGUUGGGUUUCUUUGUUGGUAGCUUUGAAAUCGAGGCAGUAGGAGGAUGGCGUUACAUGUUUGGGUUGAGUGUUCCAGUUGCUGCAGUUAUGGGUCUUGGGAUGUUCAGUCUCCCUCCUUCUCCUCGCUGGUUGCUUCUUAGGGCUGUUCAAGGUAAAGGAUCUCUGCAGGAGUAUAAGGAAAAGGCUGUUACUGCUCUGAGCAAACUCCGAGGCAGACCUGCUGGUGAUAAAGUUUCUGAAAAGCAAAUUGAUGACACACUAGUUUCAAUGAAAUCUGCUUAUGAUCGGGAAUCAGAAGCAAGCUUUUUAGAGGUGUUCCAAGGGCCAAAUCUGAAAGCUUUUAUUAUUGGUGGAGGUCUUGUGCUUUUUCAGCAGAUAACUGGGCAGCCUAGUGUUUUGUAUUAUGCUGGUCAAAUCCUACAGAGUGCUGGGUUUUCUGCUGCAUCUGAUGCCACUCGAGUUUCUGUGCUAAUUGGCCUAUUUAAGUUUGUUAUGACCGGAGUUGCUGUUCUUAAAGUUGAUGAUCUUGGAAGGAAACCAUUACUAAUUGGUGGUGUUAGUGGGAUCACGGUGGCUUUAUUCCUCCUAGCUGCUUACUACAAAUUUCUUGGAGGCCUCCCGUUUGUUGCUGUAGCUGCCUUGCUUCUAUACGUCGGUAGCUAUCAAAUAUCAUUUGGACCAAUCAGUUGGCUAAUGGUGUCAGAGAUAUUCCCUCUUCGCACGAGAGGACGAGGAAUCAGUCUCGCUGUUUUAACAAACUUUGGUUCAAAUGCUCUUGUGACCUUUGCUUUCUCACCGUUAAAGGAGUUGCUUGGAGCUGAUAACCUUUUCCUCCUGUUUGGAGCUAUUGCUUUGCUAUCCCUCGUAUUUGUGUUGACGCUCGUCCCAGAGACAAAAGGCUUAAGCUUGGAAGAAAUCGAGGCUAAAUUAUCAGAAUGAGAAUGGUUCACUACAUGAUGAGAAAUAGUCAGCCCAGGUACUAUACAACUCUACUCAGUUUGGAAUCAAAUAAAUAGUGAUGAUCUUCAUUGACCAGGCUUCAUGUCUCUCUGGAUCUGGAGUCCAGUCAGUAGAGAAGAAAAGUCAGAUGGGUGUCCUAUCAUAUUGAAGACCUGUGUAUGUAUUUAUUUUUGGCACUGUAAUAUAGUAAUUAGUAAAUGUGUACUAUGCUUUAUUUCAAUAUUCAUCAUUUAACUUGAUGAUGAUGUUUAACUACCCUUAAGGACAACUGAAAUAAAUGUAACAAAAUUCAACAAGGUAGAUUUACACCUGUGAAUCUGUGAUCUUCCAUGGAACAUACUCUACUGACUAUGAGCUAAAUUUGGGAAAUGAUUUUCUUCUUUGUUUGUC